AGAGUUUGAUCCUGGCUCAGAACGAACGCUGGCAGCGUGGAUUAGGCAUGCAAGUCGAACGGGAUCGGCCCGGUAGCAAUACGGGGCCGUGAGAGUGGCGGAAGGGCGAGUAAUGCAUGGGCAACCUGCCCCUGGACUGGGGAUAACCCGGCGAAAGCCGGGCUAAUACCGAAUGCGGCCCCGGGAGGCAUCUUCCGGGCGCCAAAGGCGGGGAUCCGCAAGGACCUGCCGUCGAGGGAGGGGCCCAUGUGCCAUCAGCUAGUUGGCGGGGUAACGGCCCACCAAGGCAUACGGCUAGCUGGUCUGAGAGGACGACCAGCCGCACUGGGACUGAGACACUGCCCAGACUCCUACGGGAGGCUGCAGUCGAGGAUCAUUCGCAAUGGGCGCAAGCCUGACGAUGCGACGCUGCGUGGAGGACGAAGGCCUUCGGGUUGUAAACUCCUGUCAUGGGGGAAAAAGGUCCCGCCGGCGAACAGCCGGCGGGCUCGAUGGUACCCCAAGAGGAAGCCACGGCUAACUCUGUGCCAGCAGCCGCGGUAAUACAGAGGUGGCGAGCGUUGUUCGGAUUUACUGGGCGUAAAGGGCGCGUAGGCGGCCCCGUGUGUCGCGUGUGAAAUCCCCGGGCUCAACCCGGGAAGUGCGCGCGAAACUGCGGGGCUCGAGCGGAGGAGGGGAGAGCGGAAUUCAUGGUGUAGCGGUGAAAUGCGUUGAUAUCAUGAGGAACACCGGUGGCGAAGGCGGCUCUCUGGAAUCCUGCUGACGCUGAGGCGCGAAAGCCGGGGGAGCAAACAGGAUUAGAUACCCUGGUAGUCCCGGCCCUAAACGGUGCACACUGGGGGUGGGGGGGUAUUCACCCCCCCCGUGCCGAAGCAAACGCAUUAAGUAUUCCGCCUGGGGAGUACGGCCGCAAGGUUGAAACUCAAAGGAAUUGACGGGGACCCGCACAAGCAGCGGAGCAUGUGGUUUAAUUCGAAGCAACGCGAAAAACCUUACCAAGACUUGACACCGUAUGAACGGUAUAGAGAUAUACUUUUCCCUUCGGGGACAUAUAGACAGGUGGUGCAUGGUUGUCGUCAGCUCGUGUCGUGAGAUGUUGGGUUAAGUCCCGCAACGAGCGCAACCCUUAUCAAUAGUUGCCAAUAUUAAGUUAGGAACUCUAUUGAGACUGCCGUGGAUAACACGGAGGAAGGUGGGGAUGACGUCAAAUCAUCAUGCCCCUUACGUCUUGGGCUACACACGUGCUACAAUGGCUAUUACAAAGAGCUGCGAUAUGGCAACAUAAAGCGAAUCUCAUAAAAAUAGUCCCAGUUCGGAUUGUGGGCUGCAACCCGCCCACAUGAAGCAGGAGUUGCUAGUAAUCCCGAAUCAGCAUGUCGGGGUGAAUGAGUUCCCGGGUCUUGUACUCACCGCCCGUCAAG
rnacentral:rRNA from 1 species